UACGUAGGGUGCGAGCGUUGUCCGGAAUUAUUGGGCGUAAAGAGCUCGUAGGCGGUGUGUCGCGUCGGCCGUGAAAACCUGGGGCUCAACUCUGGGCGUGCGGUCGAUACGGGCAUCACUAGAGUUCGGCAGGGGAGACCGGAAUUCCUGGUGUAGCGGUGAAAUGCGCAGAUAUCAGGAGGAACACCGGUGGCGAAGGCGGUUCUCUGGGCAUUACCUGACGCUGAGGAGCGAAAGUGUGGGGAGCGAACAGG
rnacentral:rRNA from 1 species